CCUACGGGCGGCAGCAGUGGGGAAUAUUGGACAAUGGGGGCAACCCUGAUCCAGCCAUGCCGCGUGUGUGAAGAAGGCCCUCGGGUUGUAAAGCACUUUCAGUGAGGAAGAACGCCUGGUGGUUAAUACCCAUCAGGAAAGACAUCACUCACAGAAGAAGCACCGGCUAACUCCGUGCCAGCAGCCGCGGUAAUACGGAGGGUGCGAGCGUUAAUCGGAAUUACUGGGCGUAAAGCGCGCGUAGGUGGCUUGAUAAGCCGGUUGUGAAAGCCCCGGGCUCAACCUGGGAACGGCAUCCGGAACUGUCAAGCUAGAGUGCAGGAGAGGAAGGUAGAAUUCCCGGUGGAGCGGUGAAAUGCGUAGAGAUCGGGAGGAAUACCAGUGGCGAAGGCGGCCUUCUGGACUGACACGACCACUGAGGUGGGAAAGCGUGGGUAGCAAACAGGAUUGGAUCCCCCUGUGGCC
rnacentral:rRNA from 1 species